AACGAACGCUGGCGGCAGGCCUAACACAUGCAAGUCGAGCGAACCCUUCGGGGUUAGCGGCGGACGGGUUAGUAACGCGUGGGAAUAUACCCUUUGGUACGGAAUAGCCUCGGGAAACUGAGAGUAAUACCGUAUGUGCCCCUUCGGGGGAAAGAUUUAUCGCCAAAGGAUUAGCCCGCGUUGGAUUAGAUAGUUGGUGGGGUAAUGGCCUACCAAGUCUACGAUCCAUAGCUGGUUUGAGAGGAUGAUCAGCAACACUGGGACUGAGACACGGCCCAGACUCCUACGGGAGGCAGCAGUGGGGAAUCUUAGACAAUGGGCGCAAGCCUGAUCUAGCCAUGCCGCGUGGACGAUGAAGGCCUUAGGGUUGUAAAGUCCUUUCAGAUGGGAAGAUAAUGAUGGUACCAUCAGAAGAAGCCCGGCUAACUCCGUGCCAGCCAGCCGCGGUAAACGUA
rnacentral:rRNA from 1 species